ACAUUAGCUUUGAAUAAAAAAGACCAAAUUGUUUACUGACUGUUCAAUUUAACCAAGAAAAAAUGGAAGUCGGGAUCUCCGCCGACAGCUCGUCUUCAUCAAUCCUCCAAAUCUAGAAUUGACGAUCGUUUUAGGAAGCAAAUCUUCCAAGAUAGAGAUCAUUCAAACAUUCAUCCACCUCACAAUCGAUCGUGUUAACAAAAUAGUAUUAUCGAUCGGUCCAGAUCCGUUAGGCAGCUUGUGUUAACUUCAGAUAACGAAGGAAUUUUUUAGAUCGGACAACAUGAGAGAUCUCUCUCUUAACUUUGCUUCAAGACAACUAAGACAGAGAAAGAAUUAAGUAUCAAAAACUAAAGAUAAGUAUUCUUUUUGGUCAGAUGUUGCACUUACAGAAAAGUUCGCAAUAGUCUCCACUCACCAACACAUCAUUUACUCCCCAAACCUAUCAAAUAGCUUUGUUUAUAUGUUACGUUGAUUUUUUCACCCUGCAAUACAAAGACAUAAGACACGUUAAAGUCUUUAAAAUCAAGAGGUUUACGAAACAAUAUGAUUAAUUAGUCUAUGUAUUUGUUCAGUUAACCUUCUUGUCACUGAAAAUGAUUCCAGUUCACCAAAUUUUGGGUUGAAUUUCUUCCAGGUGUGGAUUGCUUUCACUUGGAUGUACCAGUUGGUUCUGUAAGGUUUCAACUCUAAAAGCUUGCAGAAAAAAAGUUAAACGUUGAAGCUUCGGUAUCGAUGGAACAUUAUUAUCAAUAUACAACGAUUUGGUACAUAUACUGUCUAAGAAAAGAAAAUCAGUGUGUUAUAGUGGGUUAUAGCAGUUGAAGUUUUUUUUAAUCAUAGCAGUUGAUAUGUAAUGAUACGUUAUGUUGUUUCGAUAGGAAGACUUCUCCACAUUAAAAGUAGGUGUUGUUUUAUAAAUAAAAAGAUUUUUUGCUGUUUAAAUAAAA